GGAACGCGAAGAACCUUACCUGGGUUUGACAUGUGGGGAAAACCCGCAGAAAGGGGGGGUCCUUCGGGGCCCUCCACAGGUGGUGCAUGGCUGUCGUCAGCCAGUGUCGUGAGAUGUUGGGUUAAGUCCCGCAACGAGCGCAACCCUCCUUCUCCGUUAGCAGCCGGUUAUGUUGGGGACUCUUGGGAGACUGCCGGGGUCAAAUCGGGGGAAGGGGGGGGAGACGUCAAAUCAUCAUGCCCCCUUUGUCCAGGGCUUCACACAUGCUACAAUGGCCGGUACAAAGGGCUGCGAUACCCCGAGGUGGAGCGAAUCCCAAAAAACCGGUUUCAGUUUGGAUUGGGGUCUGCAACUUGACCCCCUGAAGUCGGAGUCGCUAGUUAUUCGCCGAUUAAGCCAU
rnacentral:rRNA from 1 species